rnacentral:misc_RNA from 1 species
AAGGAUAUUUAAUUGCAGUAAAAGCCUCUUCUUUAGCAAAAUCACUUUCUAUUGGAAAUUCAAAAAGUUUUUUGAAACAAAAACCAAAUAAAAGAGUUUUUGGUUUUUAUGUAUUUCUACAAUAAAGUAUUCCUUUAAUAAAUAUAGAUUAAAAUGCUAUNAGAUAGUUUAAAAUGCUAAUAAAAAACUAGCUUUCAAAUAAAUAAUUCAUUUUACAUUAAUUUAAUUCUUAUUUUUAAGAGAUUAAUUUUUAUUAAUUUAGUUAGUUAAAUUUUAGUUAAAAUUAGACUUUAAUUAGAACUAUAAAUUAUAAAUAAUUUAUAUUAUUUUUAAUUCUAAAAAUAAUAUCUAUAUCUUAGGAUUUCAAUUACUUAAUUAAGUAACAAUUUACUUAUUAAUUAACUUUUCACAAUAGAAGAAAAGAUUUUCUUCUAUUGUGAAAAGUUUAAUAGAACUUAAAUUUAAUUUGAGAUUUAAAAAUUUCCUAUCUUAUAUAUAUUUUUUAAAAAUUUUUUAAAAAUUAAAAAAAGAUUUAUAAUUUACUGUUAAUUUACUGUUAAUUUUAACAUUAAAAAAUAAAAAAAGAUAAAUGAUAAAAACUUUGCAUUUAUUUUUUUUUUUNAUUCUACUAGAAUAUUAAAAAAUAAAAAAGACUAAAUUCUUUUUGUUUUUUGUAAGUAAAUAUUAAAAUUAAAAAAAAUGAUUUUUCUUCCGUAUGAUUAUUGAUACGGAAAAUAAGAUAAAUGAUAAAAAAAUAGUAAGUUUUAUAAAAAAAGUAAGAUUUUGCCAUUGAGGAUUUCAAAAUAAAAUGAAAAAAAAUCUUUUCUCUUUAUCCUUUCUAAAAUUUCUUAUUUCAAAUANAAAUUUUUUAAUCUUGACGANUUAAACAUGAANUUGGCUUAUUAUUUAAAAAAAGCCGCC